GCAAGUCGAGGGGUAUAGUUCUUCGGAACUAGAGACCGGCGCACGGGUGCGUAACGCGUAUGCAAUCUACCUUUCACAGAGGGAUAGCCCAGAGAAAUUUGGAUUAAUACCUCAUAGUAUUAUAGAGUGGCAUCACUUUAUAAUUAAAGUCACAACGGUGAAAGAUGAGCAUGCGUCCCAUUAGCUAGUUGGUAAGGUAACGGCUUACCAAGGCAACGAUGGGUAGGGGUCCUGAGAGGGAGAUCCCCCACACUGGUACUGAGACACGGACCACACUCCUACGGGAGGCAGCAGUGAGGAAUAUUGGACAAUGGGCGCAAGCCUGAUCCAGCCAUGCCGCGUGCAGGAUGACGGUCCUAUGGAUUGUAAACUGCUUUUGCACAGGAAGAAACACUACUUCGUGAAGUAGCUUGACGGUACUGUGAGAAUAAGGAUCGGCUAACUCCGUGCCAGCAGCCGCGGUAAUACGGAGGAUCCAAGCGUUAUCCGGAAUCAUUGGGUUUAAAGGGUCCGUAGGCGGUUUAGUAAGUCAGUGGUGAAAGCCCAUCGCUCAACGGUGGAACGGCCAUUGAUACUGCUAAACUUGAAUUAUUAGGAAGUAACUAGAAUAUGUAGUGUAGCGGUGAAAUGCUUAGAGAUUACAUGGAAUACCAAUUGCGAAGGCAGGUUACUACUAAUGGAUUGACGCUGAUGGACGAAAGCGUGGGUAGCGAACAGGAUUAGAUACCCUGGUAGUCCACGCCGUAAACGAUGGAUACUAGCUGUUGGGAGCAUCUCAGUGGCUAGCGAAAGUGAUAAUAUCCACCUGGGGAGUACGUUCGCAAGAUGAACUCAAGGAUUGACGGGGCCGCACAGCGGGGACAUGUGCUUAUUCAUGAUACACGGGAACUUACCAGGCUUAAUGUAAUUGCCGGUUGGAACAACUUUCUC
rnacentral:rRNA from 1 species